rnacentral:rRNA from 1 species
AUUGAACGCUGGCGGCAGGCCUAACACAUGCAAGUCGAGCGGAUGAGAGGAGCUUGCUCUUUGAUUUAGCGGCGGACGGGUGAGUAAUGCCUAGGAGUCUGCCUGGUAGUGGGGGACAACGUUUCGAAAGGAACGCUAAUACCGCAUACGUCCUACGGGAGAAAGUGGGGGAUCUUCGGACCUCACGCUAUCAGAUGAGCCUAGGUCGGAUUAGCUAGUUGGUGAGGUAAUGGCUCACCAAGGCGACGAUCCGUAACUGGUCUGAGAGGAUGAUCAGUCACACUGGAACUGAGACACGGUCCAGACUCCUACGGGAGGCAGCAGUGGGGAAUAUUGGACAAUGGGCGCAAGCCUGAUCCAGCCAUGCCGCGUGUGUGAAGAAGGUCUUCGGAUUGUAAAGCACUUUAAGUUGGGAGGAAGGUCAGUAGCUUAAUACGUUGCUGAUUUGACGUUACCGACAGAAUAAGCACCGGCUAACUCUAUGCCAGCCGCCGCAGUAAAAC